UGGGUCCGCCCACAAUUCGUCCAACCGAGCUUCAUUUCACCUGGCCGACCCUGCUAAAUCCAUCCUACUGCAUCGUGUGUUUUUGAUAACAAGUUGCUGGUGACAAAGUCACAAUAAAACGUUGGAUGAUCAGCAUGGAAGGUGAUGUCAUCUGCAAAGGCGUCCAACCUAGCUUAAUCUCAGGGCUUGCUGCCCUUCUUGCCACCUACUAUGUGUUCAACUUGGAAUACCAAGAGGAAGGUCCUCGGACAUUGGAAUUUGUUCAAAGGGACCGAAGCACCAGUUUGACUCUAGGAUACAGAGAAGGUAGGUAAUGUGCAGGUAAAGAUAUGUUGACUGGGUCAAAGAAGGAAGCACCUGUUUGACCCCAGGAUGCAGAAAAAGUAGGUAAUUUGCAGGUAAAGAUAUGUUGACUGGAUGAUGGCA